AUACGGAGGGGGCUAGCGUUGUUCGGAAUUACUGGGCGUAAAGCGCGCGUAGGCGGUUUGCCAAGUCAGGCGUGAAAGCCCCGGGCCCAACCCGGGAACUGCGUUUGAAACUGGCAGGCUUGAGGCCGGGAGAGGGUAGUGGAAUUCCCAGUGUAGAGGUGAAAUUCGUAGAUAUUGGGAAGAACACCAGUGGCGAAGGCGGCUACCUGGACCGGUUCUGACGCUGAGGUGCGAAAGCGUGGGGAGCAAACAGGAUUAGAUACCCCAGUAGUCC
rnacentral:rRNA from 1 species